rnacentral:rRNA from 1 species
GAUGAACGCUGGCGGCGUGCCUAAUACAUGCAAGUCGAGCGAACAGACGAGGAGCUUGCUCCUCUGACGUUAGCGGCGGACGGGUGAGUAACACGUGGAUAACCUACCUAUAAGACUGGGAUAACUUCGGGAAACCGGUGCUAAUACCGGAUAAUAUAUUUAACCGCAUGGUUCAAUAGUGAAAGACGGUUUUGCUGUCACUUAUAGAUGGAUCCGCGCCGCAUUAGCUAGUUGGUAAGGUAACGGCUUACCAAGGCAACGAUGCGUAGCCGACCUGAGAGGGUGAUCGGCCACACUGGAACUGAGACACGGUCCAGACUCCUACGGGAGGCAGCAGUAGGGAAUCUUCCGCAAUGGGCGAAAGCUUGACGGAGCAACGCCGCGUGAGUGAUGAAGGUCUUCGGAUCGUAAAACUCUGUUAUUAGGGAAGAACAAAUGUGUAAGUAACUAUGCACGUCUUGACGGUACCUAAUCAGAAAGCCACGGCUAACUACGUG